AUCAGGGUUGACUAGGGUUUAAGGUUGUGGAUUUCAAAGCCAUAGUCCCCGGGUUCAAAUUCCAGCUCUGACA
rnacentral:tRNA from 1 species